GUGCUCACUUUGCUAGCACAUAUACUAAAAUUGGAACUAUACAGAUAAGAUUAGCAUGGCCCUAAAGCAAAGAUGACAUGCAAAUUCGUGAAGCAUUCCAUAUUUUU